rnacentral:rRNA from 1 species
UGAGGAAUAUUGGUCAAUGGGCGCAAGCCUGAACCAGCCAUCCCGCGUGCAGGAAGACGGCGCUAUGCGUUGUAAACUGCUUUUCCAGGGGGAGAAACUUGCGCACGUGUUGCGCAAUUGACGGUACCCUGGGAAUAAGCAUCGGCUAACUCCGUGCCAGCAGCCGCGGUAAUACGGAGGAUGCGAGCGUCAUCCGGCUUCAUUGGGUUUAAAGGGUGCGUAGGCGGACUAUUAAGUCAGUGGUGAAAUCCUGCAGCUUAACUGCAGAACUGCCAUUGAUACUGAUAGUCUUGAGUUUGGUUAAGGUAGGCAGAAUGCGUAAUGUAGCGGUGAAAUGCUUAGAUAUUACACAGAACACCAAUUGCGUAGGCAGCUUACUGAGCCGACACUGACGCUGAGGCACGAAAGCGUGGGGAUCGAACAG